rnacentral:rRNA from 1 species
GGUAAAUUCAGCUUCCAAUAGCGUAAUACUAAAGUUCGUUCGCAGUUAAAAAGCUCCGUAGUUGGAUUUUCUCGCGGGGACGGAGCGGCCGGUCGCAACUUCGCGACUCGAGCUAGCGCUUUUUCCCCGCAUCCCGCCGCGAACCGUGCUACCAUUAGCUUGGUGGCGCUGGGGAUCGGCUCGAUUACUUUGAGAAAAAAUAGAGUGUUCAAAGCAGGCCACACGCCUUGAAUAAGUUAGCAUGGAAUAAUGACUAAGGACUUCGGUUCUAUUUUGUUGGUGUUCGGGACUGAAGUAAUGAUUGAUAGGGACAGUUGGGGCGGUCUGUAUUCCAAAGCGAGAGGUGAAAUUCUUAGACCUUCGGAAAGAACAAACAGCUGCGAAAGCGUUCCGCAAGGAUGUUCCCUUUGAUCAAGAACGAAAGUUGGGGGAUCGAAGACGAUCAGAUACCGUCGUAGUCUCAACUAUAAACUAUACCAGCUAGGGAUCGGUCAACGUUUAAUCAUUCGACUUGAUCGGCACCUUAUGAGAAAUCAAAGCAUCUGGGUUCCGGGGGGAGUAUGGUCGCAAGGCUGAAACUUAAAGGAAUUGACGGAAGGGCACCACCAGCCGUGGAGCCUGUGGCUUAAUUUGACUCAACACGGGAAAACUUACCAGGUCCAGACAUAGUAAGGAUUGACAGAUUGAUAGCUCUUUCUUGAUUCUGUGGGUGGUGGUGCAUGGCCGUUCUUAGUUAGUGGAGUGAUUUGUCUGGUUAAUUCCGUUAACGAACGAGACCCCAGCCUGCUAAAUAGCGCGGCUGAGCUUUGCUCGGUGCGAGCUUCUUAGAGGGACUAUGAUGCGCGAUAGCACAUGGAAGUUUGGGGCAAUAACAGGUCUGUGAUGCCCUUAGAUGUUCUGGGCCGCACACGGGCUACACUGGCGCCUGCAACGAGCAUAUCAGCUGGCCCGAGAGGGUCUUGGCUAAUCUUUUGAACCGGCGCCGUGCUUGGGAUUGACCAUUGCAAUUGUUGGUCAUGCAACGAGGAAUGCCUUGUAAACGCGAGUCAUCAGCUCGCAUUGAAUACGUCCCUGCCCUUUGUACACACCGCCCGUCGCUCCUACCGAUGAAUGUUCCGAUGAAAUUUUCGGAGAGCGCCAGAGAACGGGGCUCCGCCUUGCAGAUUCUGGAGGCUCAAAGUCACUUAAAUCUGAACAUUUCGAGGAAGGAGAAGUCGUAACAAGGUAGCCG